AGUGAACGCUGGCGGUAGGCCUAACACAUGCAAGUCGAACGGCAGCACAGUAAGAGCUUGCUCUUACGGGUGGCGAGUGGCGGACGGGUGAGGAAUACAUCGGAAUCUACUUUUUCGUGGGGGAUAACGUAGGGAAACUUACGCUAAUACCGCAUACGACCUACGGGUGAAAGCAGGGGAUCUUCGGACCUUGCGCGAUUGAAUGAGCCGAUGUCGGAUUAGCUAGUUGGCGGGGUAAAGGCCCACCAAGGCGACUAUCCGUAGCCGGUCUGAGAGGAUGAGCAGCCAAACUGUAACUGAGACACGGUCCAGACUCCUACGUGAGGCAGCAGUGGGGAAUAUUGGACAAUGGGCGCAAGCCUGAUCCAGCCAUACCGCGUGGGUGAAGAAGGCCUUCGGGUUGUAAAGCCCUUUUGUUGGGAAAGAAAAGCAGCAGGUUAAUACCCCGCUGUUCUGACGGUACCCAAAGAAUAAGCACCGGCUAACUUCGUG
rnacentral:rRNA from 1 species